CGAUGACCUCUUCAUGAAAGUUGUCGUUUAAGGAGGGGCUCGCGUACCAUUAGCUAGUUGGUGGGGUAAUGGCCUACCAAGGCUACGAUGGUUAGCAGGUCUGAGAGGAUGACCAGCCACACUGGAACUGAAACGCGGUCCAGACUCCUACGGGAGGCAGCAGUGAGGAAUUUUGCGCAAUGGGGGAAACCCUGACGCAGCAACGCCGCGUGAGUGAAGAAGGCCUUCGGGUCGUAAAGCUCUGUCAGGUGGAAAAAAUGAUACAUGGUAAAUAGCCAUGUAUUUUGAUGGUACCACCAGAGGAAGCACCGGCUAACUCCGUGCCAGCAGCCGCGGUAAUACGGAGGGUGCAAGCGUUGUUCGGAAUUACUGGGCGUAAAGAGCGUGUAGGCGGUAUGGUAAGUCAGAUGUGAAAGCCCUGGGCUUAACCCAGGAAGUGCAUUUGAUACUGCUAUUCUUGAGUAUGGGAGAGGUGAGUGGAAUUCCCAGUGUAGAGGUGAAAUUCGUAGAUAUUGGGAGGAACAUCCGUGGCGAAGGCGACUCACUGGACCAAUACUGACGCUGAGACGCGAAAGCAUGGGGAGCAAACAGGAUUAGAUACCCUGGUAGUCCAUGCCAUAAACGAUGAGAACUAGGUGUAGCGGGUAUUGACCCCUGCUGUGCCGAAGCUAACGCAUUAAGUUCUCCGCCUGGGGAGUACGGCCGCAAGGCUAAAACUCAAAGGAAUUGACGGGGACCCGCACAAGCGGUGGAGCAUGUGGUUUAAUUCGACGCAACGCGAAGAACCUUACCUGGAUUUGACAUCCUUUGACCGUCCUGGAAACAGGAUUUUCCAUGUUUACAUGGACAAAGUGACAGGUGCUGCAUGGCUGUCGUCAGCUCUCGUGAGAUGUUGGGUUAAGUCCCGCAACGAGCGCAACCCCUGUUUUUAGUUGCCCUUAUUAAGUUAGGCACUCUAAAGAUACUGCCUCGGUUAACGGGGAGGAAGGUGGGGAUGACGUCAAGUCCUCAUGGCCUUUAUAUCCAGGGCUACACACGUGCUACAAUGGGCUGUACAAAGAGCAGCAACUCCGCGAGGGGAAGCUAAUCUCAAAAAGCAGUUCUCAGUUCGGAUUGGAGUCUGCAACUCGACUCCAUGAAGUUGGAAUCGCUAGUAAUCGUGGAUCAGCAUGCCACGGUGAAUACGUUCCCGGGUCUUGUACACACCGCCCGUCACACCACGAAAGUUGACUGUACCAGAAGUUGCUAGGCUAACCCUUCGGGGGAGCAGGUACCUAAGGUACGGCCAGUAAUUGGGGUGAAGUCGUAACAAGGUA
rnacentral:rRNA from 1 species